rnacentral:rRNA from 1 species
CCUACGGGUGGCAGCAGUGAGGAAUAUUGGUCAAUGGGCGCGAGCCUGAACCAGCCAAGUAGCGUGAAGGAUGACUGCCCUACGGGUUGUAAACUUCUUUUAUAAAGGAAUAAAGUGAGGCACGUGUGCCUUUUUGUAUGUACUUUAUGAAUCAGGCUCGGCUAACUCCGUGCCAGCAGCCGCGGUAAUACGGAGGAUCCGAGCGUUAUCCGGAUUUAUUGGGUUUAAAGGGAGCGUAGAUGGGUUGUUAAGUCAGUUGUGAAAGUUUGCGGCUCAACCGUAAAAUUGCAAUUGAUACUGGCAGUCUUGAGUACAGUAGAGGUAGGCGGAAUUCGUGGUGUAGCGGUGAAAUGCGUAGAGAUCACGAAGAACACCGAUUGCGAAGGCAGCUUACUAGACUGCCACUGACAUUGAUGCGCGAAAGUGUGGGUAGCAAACAGGAUUAGAUACCCCUGUAGUC